rnacentral:rRNA from 1 species
UACGUAGGGGGCUAGCGUUGUCCGGAAUCAUUGGGCGUAAAGAGCGUGUAGGCGGGACGGCACGUCGGUAGCUGAAAUCCCCCGGCUCAACCGGGGAACGGGCGCCGAUACGACCGCCCUCGAGGGACGUAGGGGGACCUGGAACUUCCGGUGGAGCGGUGAAAUGCGUUGAGAUCGGAAGGAACGCCCGUGGCGAAAGCGGACGACUGGGCUGAGCUGACGCUGAGACACGAAAGCCAGGGGAGCAAACGGGG